UGUGUGUGUGUGUUUGUUUUACCUAUGUCCUCCAGGUCAGCGGUCAUUGACUUGGAUCGGAGUGUCAACGAAGUGCUGGGGGCCCGCUUCGGAGGGGGCGGAGCUACAAGACAAGAACCAACCGCAAGAUCAAGCCUCGGAGAAGUCAGAUGGCGAGAAAGCCAGGUUGGUUUCAGAUUUCCUGGAAACCGAUACAACCUUCAUCAGCAGUCGACUCCCCCCCUGUCGGAUCAGAGAGACCACCUGCCGGUGCCCCACCUUCACCACAUCGGUGCCGUUCACCUGUG